rnacentral:rRNA from 1 species
GACGAACGCUGGCGGCGUGCUUAACACAUGCAAGUCGAACGGAAAGGCCCUGCUUUUGUGGGGUGCUCUAGUGGCGAACGGGUGAGUAACACGUGAGUAACCUGCCCUUGACUUUGGGAUAACUUCAGGAAACUGGGGCUAAUACCGGAUAGGAGCUCCUGCUGCAUGGUGGGGGUUGGAAAGUUUCGGCGGUUGGGGAUGGACUCGCGGCUUAUCAGCUUGUUGGUGGGGUAGUGGCUUACCAAGGCUUUGACGGGUAGCCGGCCUGAGAGGGUGACCGGCCACAUUGGGACUGAGAUACGGCCCAGACUCCUACGGGAGGCAGCAGUGGGGAAUAUUGCACAAUGGGCGGAAGCCUGAUGCAGCAACGCCGCGUGCGGGAUGACGGCCUUCGGGUUGUAAACCGCUUUCGCCUGUGACGAAGCGUGAGUGACGGUAAUGGGUAAAGAAGCACCAGCUAACUACGUG